rnacentral:rRNA from 1 species
UACAUGGGGUGCAAACGUUGCUCGGAAUUAUUGGGCGUAAAGCGCACGUAGGCGGUUUGUUAAGUCGGAUGUGAAAUCCCUCGGCUCAACUGAGGAAGUGCAUCCGAAACUGGCAAGCUUGAGUACGAAAGAGGGUCGCGGAAUUCCCGGUGUAGAGGUGAAAUUCGUAGAUAUCGGGAGGAACACCGGUGGCGAAGGCGGCGACCUGGGUCGAUACUGACGCUGAGGUGCGAAAGCGUGGGGAGCAACCAGG